ACGGUGAGGUCGAAACCCGAGCAGAGGUCACGCCGCACCAGUUGGCCUGGUGGGCGUGGGCGUUGUUGGCUCCGAUUCACAUCCAAUCGCGGUGGAGCGGCGCCGGCGACUCCGACUCCGACACUCCGACUCACGGCGGCGGCGGCACCGUUCAGACACCGCCUAUUUCCUCCUAUUCUACUGACGGAUUGAGGAGGCAAGCAGAGGGUGCGUCCAUCGAAAUCUGUUGCCCUAUCUAUCCGUGAUGGGCGGCACAUCUAAGCGGCGGCGCCGGAACGACGAUUACCCCAAGUUGAGGUCCUCCCAGCAGCGGAAGAAGCACCUCUACCUGGCGUUGGAUGACUGGAACGGCGGGUACAGCAUCCACAGGCUUGAUGACGCCGACGACAUCCUGGAUGGAGAUUCAGGAGGAGGAGGAGGAGAGGAGGAGCUCCCCGAGCCGGCUGCUAUUCGGAUAGCAUCGCGGUGCGACAUGUCCUUUGCUGCUGUGGGCAGCAACAUAUUUAUCGGCACCAACCGGGGCAGGAACUGCGCACCCCCACCCCCAACCUUGGUCUACGACACCAAAACUGCCGCCAUCAGCGCCGGCCCGCUCGUUCCAGAGUGUAUCCAUGACUUGGGCGCUGCCAUGGCUGUCGGUGAAAAUCUGUAUGCGCCAACAACAGUUCCUUUCAUUAUGUCAACCUCCUUGCAGGUUCUGUCAAUGGAAGAGCCAUGGGAUCCAAAUCCAACCAAGGAGUGGAGCUGGAACACGGUGCCCUCACCUUCAGAACUCCCGUUCAAUGGAAUUGACAUAAUCGCCUACGCGGUGCAUCGGGAUGGGCGCACCAUUUUCAUAUCCGCAGGCGGCUGUACCUACGCCUUGGACACCAGCAAUGGUGUGUGCAAGGAGCUUGGCGAGUGGCUAUUGCCCUUCAGAGGCCAAGCUUUCUUUGAUAGCGGUCUGGACGCAUGGGUUGGGCUUCAUCGCGAACACGACGGACGGGUUUGCUGCUGCCCAGCCACCUCCCUCAGCGUCACCACCACGCAGCAGCCAGCAGAGUGCAGGAUGCUCAUGGAGAAGCUGCUUCGGCGAAGCGACGAGGACCCAAAGCACUGGUCCGGUUUGAGAGUGUUGAGUCCAUCCAGUUUGGUUUGUUGCGUGCCCCAAACUGACGGCAGGAUUCUCUUCAGGACACAUCAUUUAAAUGGAGGAACAAGCUGAUUAUGUUGCUGCUGCCGUCCCUACUUCAUUUACCCCUACUCUUAAUAAUGUGGUCUUCUCCAGAUUCUGAGACUUUUCCAAUAAUGAUGUCUUCGGUCUGAAGAUUUGCACCAAUGUAUGUGUUGAGUCCAUCCAGUUUGGUUUGUUGCGUGCCCCAAACUGAUGGCAGGAUUCUCUUCAGGACACAUCAUUUAAAUGGAGGAACAAGCUGAUUAUGUUGCUGCUGCCAUCUCUACUGCCUCUUCGAAUGUCACAAGUGUUUGACCUUAUCACUAGGGCAUUUUGGAUGGCCUUCUCUUGAGGCUUAUUUUUCUAGAAGGAUAGCUGGAGAUGGCAUUAGGCUGAGCAUGGAGGUAAUCACCAUGUCAGAGAAGUGAUCGCUGUUGGAUUCGAAGUGGGGCGACUAGCAGAACUUGUGGAAGCAUGGUAAAGUUGCCAGCAGCCACAGUUGAGAACCAGCAGAGCAAUUGUGUGUGUGGCUCACCGGAAUUGGAUUCGGAGAAAAGGCAGGGGUACAUGAGGUUACAACCAUACAUUCUGUUUACAUGUAUGCUUGGGCAAUCCAGCUGCCUUCCUCGUCCACCUACUCACCCAUCCAAACCCCAGCAGCGCUAUGAUGGCUUUCCUUACAACCCAACUUCACCAAGUUGCUGCCAUUGAUGAUGUUUGUGACUGCCAACCAUCUACAGUGUGCUGGCUUUGCUUAUAGAAGGAUGGCUGGGGAUUGCACUGGGCAGAGCAUGGAGGUAAUCAUGUUAGGGAAGUGAUGGCUAGAGUGGUCAAACUUGGGGCGACUAGCAGAAGCGUGUUGAAGCAAGGCUAUUCCCUUCCCCAGAGCAGCUUCAAGCAGCUGUCUGGGAGUUUGACGUGUUGGGAAGGCAUGCGAAUUUAUCACAAGAUCCGGGACUAUACCUUCAUGAGUAAAUGGGAAGUUCUCUUGAGAUUAUUCUAGAAAAAACACCACCUUUUUGGCCAUGCAUGCUGGAAAACUUAUCUCGAAGGCAAGGUGUCCAAACCUAAAAUUAAUCAGAUAAACAGAGAAAACUUCACAUGGUCAAUAAAAAGUAAAAUAUGUGGUGUAAAUGUGAAGGUGGGGACACAAAUAAAAUUGAAUAGUCACAUUGUACGUGUUGGAAUGAAUCUAAGGAAAUGGAAAAGGGUGAGUUAAGCUGCUGGCCCAACCAAGCCAGCAUCCUAUUUGGCCUUAUCCAUGUCCUAAAAGUCAAGAACAAGGAGAAGCCAAAUUCUUACUAUUACUUAUUUGGGCUAUGGGGACAUGGGGUGGAUCGAUGCAAACAUGUAAAGUGCUGAACCCCAUAAAAAGGUACUGCCCCUGUUUCACAAUACUUGUCAGAUUUGAUUUUCUAUUUAUCUAUAGUUUUUUAAAUAAAUGGUUCAACAGUGUGAAAUUACCAUUGUAAGAGCUGCCAGCAUUGGUACCCAAAGAAUAUAUGUACUUAGAAAUAUUUGCGAUGUGUUGAAGUUACAUCCUAAAAGCUAGUAGUUCCAACGGUUGUAGUAGAAAAGAGGUAAUAAAGUCGAACAUGUUUUAUUUUAACCAUAAAGGAUGAAGUACUCAUGAGUGCACACUGAUGCCUAUCUUUCUUAUCAUUCAUGACCUCAUCUUAAUUUCAUGGCAAUGAUAUAGGCAUAGAUAAUUCAUUAAUAUUUUUUGGUUACAAAAGAAAUGUCAAUAAGACCAACAAUAAUCUCUCAAGAACAAGAUAACUACUGGGUUAAAUAAAAAUGCCAGGCACACAAAACAGGAAACACAGCUACAGUUGGUUUAUGUCAAUCAGUGGAACAGAAGAGUAGAAUGGAACAUUCUAUUGUCUAGUGAAGCCAGAAUUCAAGGAAUGUACUAAUUGGUUAAUGGUUAAUACUUCUUUGCUAAGACAAAUGUCAUUUAGGUCUUGCUUGAUUGCACUCAUAUCCACCUCAUUUCCACCCCAAUUCUUCUCAAGUUCGUGACACACAUGUGGAAUGAACAGCAGCAAAACAAGGCUUACCUGUCUGUAACGCCCCAAAAUACGUUUUAUAUGUUCAGAAGCGUAGAAUGGUAAAAGGUAUGAUUGUAGUUUAUAGAAUGGCAAAAAAAUAUUUUUUUAUAUGUAGCUCGGAUGGGCAUUUUAACGUUUGACCAAAAUUUGACUUCUAGUGAAAUAAUUCAUAUGGUUGAUAUGAGUCCUUGGAUGCAAAGAUCUCAUCAAAAUGAAUCUUGUUGACUACUCUGAUGCCUUGUUUGAAGUUUGGAACAUAGAGCUAUCAAAUGGACAUGCAAGAUUAAAAAAUAAUAAAGUCAAACCUAGCGCUACAGUAACUGCCCCCCUCCCCUCCCAUAGCCGACCUCCCUCUUUUCCUCCCCAUAACGUGAUCUCCUUCUCCUCCACCAUGGCAGCACCUUGUUCCAUCUAGUCUUUCCCUCCAAAGGUGUAAGAGCCCUAGGGUGGAUAGAAAAACAGAUCAAGGGCGACAAGAAGAGGCAUUAGAUCGAUGGAUUUCCAACCUCUUCUUGCCGUUCUUCAAGAGGAAACCCUAGGUGAUGUGCUUUGGAUCAUUCUUAGCUCAUGUGUUUGAUCUUCAAUGGAGG